UGGGGAAUAUUGGGCAAUGGGCGAAAGCCUGACCCAGCGACGCCGCGUGAAGGAUGAAGGUCUUCGGAUUGUAAACUUCUUUGAUCAGGGAAGAAAGAAAUGACGGUACCUGAAGAACAAGCCACGGCUAACUACGUGCCAGCAGCCGCGGUAAUACGUAGGUGGCAAGCGUUGUCCGGAUUUACUGGGUGUAAAGGGCGUGUAGGCGGGUAUGCAAGUCAGAUGUGAAAUCCCGUGGCUCAACUGCGGAACUGCAUCUGAAACUGCGUAUCUUGAGUGUCGGAGGGGAAAGUGGAAUUCCUGGUGUAGCGGUGAAAUGCGUAGAUAUCAGGAGGAACACCGGUGGCGAAGGCGACUUUCCGGACGACAACUGACGCUGAGACGCGAAAGCGUGGGGAGCAAACAGG
rnacentral:rRNA from 1 species